CUUGAGGUCUAUCCCGAUGGAGCCUGGCUGUAGGCUCUUUAUCGUUGGAAAUGCCUCAUAGAGUGACAGACUUGUGAUUCCAUUUUACCCAUUAAGCUUCUUGUUUGAUGGGUGGGGUAAAAUUACAAGACAAUA